AGCAGUCGCCGCGGUAAAACAGAGGCCUCAAGCGUUGUUCGGAUUCAUUGGGCGUAAAGGGUGCGUAGGUGGCUUGGUAAGUUGAAGGUGAAAUCUCGGGGCUUAACCCCGGAACUGCCUUCAAUACUGCUAGGCUCGAGGACUGUAGAGGAGAAUGGAAUUCACGGUGUAGCAGUGAAAUGCGUAGAUAUCGUGAGGAAGACCAGUGGCGAAGGCGAUUCUCUGGGCAGUUCCUGACACUGAGGCACGAAGGCCAGGGGAGCAAACGGGAUUAGAUACCCGGGUAGUCCCUGUCUCUUAUAC
rnacentral:rRNA from 1 species